rnacentral:rRNA from 1 species
GAAGGGAGCUUGCUCCUGGAUUCAGCGGCGGACGGGUGAGUAAUGCCUAGGAAUCUGCCUGGUAGUGGGGGAUAACGUCCGGAAACGGGCGCUAAUACCGCAUACGUCCUGAGGGAGAAAGUGGGGGAUCUUCGGACCUCACGCUAUCAGAUGAGCCUAGGUCGGAUUAGCUAGUUGGUGGGGUAAAGGCCUACCAAGGCGACGAUCCGUAACUGGUCUGAGAGGAUGAUCAGUCACACUGGAACUGAGACACGGUCCAGACUCCUACGGGAGGCAGCAGUGGGGAAUAUUGGACAAUGGGCGAAAGCCUGAUCCAGCCAUGCCGCGUGUGUGAAGAAGGUCUUCGGAUUGUAAAGCACUUUAAGUUGGGAGGAAGGGCAGUAAGUUAAUACCUUGCUGUUUUGACGUUACCAACAGAAUAAGCACCGGCUAACUUCGUGCCAGCAGCCGCGGUAAUACGAAGGGUGCAAGCGUUAAUCGGAAUUACUGGGCGUAAAGCGCGCGUAGGUGGUUCAGCAAGUUGGAUGUGAAAUCCCCGGGCUCAACCUGGGAACUGCAUCCAAAACUACUGAGCUAGAGUACGGUAGAGGGUGGUGGAAUUUCCUGUGUAGCGGUGAAAUGCGUAGAUAUAGGAAGGAACACCAGUGGCGAAGGCGACCACCUGGACUGAUACUGACACUGAGGUGCGAAAGCGUGGGGAGCAAACAGGA